UAGCCGUAAACGAUACUCGCUAGGUGUCGGCCACGGUGCGACCGUUGUCGGUGCCGUAGGGAAGCCGUGAAGCGAGCCACCUGGGAAGUACGGCCGCAAGGCUGAAACUUAAAGGAAUUGGCGGGGGAGCACCACAACGGGUGGAGCUUGCGGUUUAAUUGGAUUCAACGCCGGAAAUCUUACCGGGACCGACAGCAACAUGAAGGCCAGGCUGAAGACUUUGCCGGAUUAGCUGAGAGGAGGUGCAUGGCGUAGUCGUGU
rnacentral:rRNA from 1 species